UUAAGCGACUAAGCGUACACGGUGGAUGCCCUGGCAGUCAGAGGCGAUGAAGGACGUGCUAAUCUGCGAAAAGCGUCGGUAAGGUGAUAUGAACCGUUAUAACCGGCGAUGUCCGAAUGGGGAAACCCAGUGCAAUUCGUUGCACUAUCGUUAACUGAAUACAUAGGUUAACGAGGCGAACCGGGGGAACUGAAACAUCUAAGUACCCCGAGGAAAAGAAAUCAACCGAGAUUCCCCCAGUAGCGGCGAGCGAACGGGGAGCAGCCCAGAGUCUGAAUCAGCUUGUGUGUUAGUGGAACGGUCUGGAAAGUCCGACGGUACAGGGUGAUAGUCCCGUACACCAAAAUGCACAGGUUGUGAACUCGAAGAGUAGGGCGGGACACGUGGUAUCCUGUCUGAAUAUGGGGGGACCAUCCUCCAAGGCUAAAUACUCCUGACUGACCGAUAGUGAACCAGUACCGUGAGGGAAAGGCGAAAAGAACCCCGGCGAGGGGAGUGAAAAAGAACCUGAAACCGUGUACGUACAAGCAGUGGGAGCNNGUGACUGCGUACCUUUUGUAUAAUGGGUCAGCGACUUAUAUUCUGUAGCAAGGUUAACCGUAUAGGGGAGCCGCAGGGAAACCGAGUCUUAACUGGGCGUUAAGUUGCAGGGUAUAGACCCGAAACCCGGUGAUCUAGCCAUGGGCAGGUUGAAGGUUGGGUAACACUAACUGGAGGACCGAACCGACUAAUGUUGAAAAAUUAGCGGAUGACUUGUGGCUGGGGGUGAAAGGCCAAUCAAACCGGGAGAUAGCUGGUUCUCCCCGAAAGCUAUUUAGGUAGCGCCUCGUGAACUCAUCUUCGGGGGUAGAGCACUGUUUCGGCUAGGGGGUCAUCCCGACUUACCAACCCGAUGCAAACUACGAAUACCGAAGAAUGUUAUCACGGGAGACACACGGCGGGUGCUAACGUCCGUCGUGAAGAGGGAAACAACCCAGACCGCCAGCUAAGGUCCCAAAGUCAUGGUUAAGUGGGAAACGAUGUGGGAAGGCACAGACAGCCAGGAUGUUGGCUUAGAAGCAGCCAUCAUUUAAAGAAAGCGUAAUAGCUCACUGGUCGAGUCGGCCUGCGCGGAAGAUGUAACGGGGCUAAACCAUGCACCGAAGCUGCGGCAGCGACGCUUAUGCGUUGUUGGGUAGGGGAGCGUUCUGUAAGCCUGCGAAGGUGACCUGUGAGGGUUGCUGGAGGUAUCAGAAGUGCGAAUGCUGACAUAAGUAACGAUAAAGCGGGUGAAAAGCCCGCUCGCCGGAAGACCAAGGGUUCCUGUCCAACGUUAAUCGGGGCAGGGUGAGUCGACCCCUAAGGCGAGGCCGAAAGGCGUAGUCGAUGGGAAACAGGUUAAUAUUCCUGUACUUGGUGUUACUGCGAAGGGGGGACGGAGAAGGCUAUGUUAGCCGGGCGACGGUUGUCCCGGUUUAAGCAUGUAGGCUGGUUAUCCAGGCAAAUCCGGAUAAUCAAGGCUGAGGUGUGAUGACGAGGCACUACGGUGCUGAAGUAACAAAUGCCCUGCUUCCAGGAAAAGCCUCUAAGCAUCAGGUAACAUCAAAUCGUACCCCAAACCGACACAGGUGGUCAGGUAGAGAAUACCAAGGCGCUUGAGAGAACUCGGGUGAAGGAACUAGGCAAAAUGGUGCCGUAACUUCGGGAGAAGGCACGCUGGUGUGUAGGUGAAGUCCCUGCGGAUGGAGCUGAGACCAGUCGAAGAUACCAGCUGGCUGCAACUGUUUAUUAAAAACACAGCACUGUGCAAACACGAAAGUGGACGUAUACGGUGUGACGCCUGCCCGGUGCCGGAAGGUUAAUUGAUGGGGUUAUCCGUAAGGAGAAGCUCUUGAUCGAAGCCCCGGUAAACGGCGGCCGUAACUAUAACGGUCCUAAGGUAGCGAAAUUCCUUGUCGGGUAAGUUCCGACCUGCACGAAUGGCGUAAUGAUGGCCAGGCUGUCUCCACCCGAGACUCAGUGAAAUUGAACUCGCUGUGAAGAUGCAGUGUACCCGCGGCAAGACGGAAAGACCCCGUGAACCUUUACUAUAGCUUGACACUGAACAUUGAGCCUUGAUGUGUAGGAUAGGUGGGAGGCUUUGAAGCGUGGACGCCAGUCUGCGUGGAGCCAACCUUGAAAUACCACCCUUUAAUGUUUGAUGUUCUAACGUUGGCCCCUUAUCGGGGUUGCGGACAGUGUCUGGUGGGUAGUUUGACUGGGGCGGUCUCCUCCCAAAGCGUAACGGAGGAGCACGAAGGUUAGCUAAUCCUGGUCGGACAUCAGGAGGUUAGUGCAAUGGCAUAAGCUAGCUUGACUGCGAGCGUGACGGCGCGAGCAGGUGCGAAAGCAGGUCAUAGUGAUCCGGUGGUUCUGAAUGGAAGGGCCAUCGCUCAACGGAUAAAAGGUACUCCGGGGAUAACAGGCUGAUACCGCCCAAGAGUUCAUAUCGACGGCGGUGUUUGGCACCUCGAUGUCGGCUCAUCACAUCCUGGGGCUGAAGUAGGUCCCAAGGGUAUGGCUGUUCGCCAUUUAAAGUGGUACGCGAGCUGGGUUUAGAACGUCGUGAGACAGUUCGGUCCCUAUCUGCCGUGGGCGCUGGAGAAUUGAGGGGGGCUGCUCCUAGUACGAGAGGACCGGAGUGGACGCAUCACUGGUGUUCGGGUUGUCAUGCCAAUGGCACUGCCCGGUAGCUAAAUGCGGAAGAGAUAAGUGCUGAAAGCAUCUAAGCACGAAACUUGCCCCGAGAUGAGUUCUCCCUGAGACUUUAAG
rnacentral:rRNA from 1 species